AGGGCACCACCAGGAGUGGAGCCUGCGGCUUAAUUUGACUCAACACGGGAAAACUCACCCGGCCCGGACACUGGAAGGAUUGACAGAUUGAGAGCUCUUUCUUGAUUCAGUGGGUGGUGGUGCAUGGCCGUUCUUAGUUGGUGGAGCGAUUUGUCUGGUUAAUUCCGAUAACGAACGAGACUCUAGCCUACUAAAUAGAUCGUCGGCUUACAAACGCUGAUGAGACUUCUUAGAGGGACAGGCGGCGAUUCAGCCGCACGAAACAAAGCAAUAACAGGUCUGUGAUGCCCUUAGAUGUCCGGGGCCGCACGCGCGCUACACUGAAGUGAUCAGCGUGCAUUUUCAGCCUACUCUGCCAAGAGUGGGAAACCCAAUGAACCUUCUUCGUGAUUGGGAUAGGAGAUUGUAAUUAUUCUCCUUGAACGAGGAAUUCCCAGUAAGCGCGAGUCAUAAGCUCGCGUUGAUUACGUCCCUGCCCUUUGUACACACCGCCCGUCGCUACUACCGAUUGAAUGUUUU
rnacentral:rRNA from 1 species